UUCAAUAAAGCUUGUUCUUAGAGAAGAUUUCAUUGAUAUUAUCUGUUUAAUGCAAUUUUAUUAGAAGUAAUAUUAAACAACAUGGAACAGCCUUCAUUAUUUGAGCUUCCUGAGGUAUUCUACCCACCGAAAAUUGCGAAAUUUAAGGGAAAAAUUCGACUUUUUGUUGUGACAAUUGAAUAAAGUUUUCCAGAGAAAAAUUUACGAUUUGAUGAUUUUUAUUCUUAAUUUUGAAAAUUUGGACUAAAACAAACCUGGCAGCACUAAGUAUACAUCCAAUGAAUGAAACGUGUUUCCAUUUUUGGCCAAUAGCAAACCGUAUGCAGUAAACUCAACAUUUUGAUCAUGGUAAAGUACACGAACGAACAACGUAUGCAAAUCAUAUAAAUUUACUACUGAAAUUCGGAGUCGAUAACCGCUACUUUAAGAGCAAAAUCAUCUUCAGUGACGAAACUCAUUUUUGGCUAAAGGGUUCGUCAAAAAGCAAAUAUGACUUAUUUGUUAGUUAAAAAUCCAAAUGUGCUUCAUAAAUCAACACUUCAUCCCUAAAAGGUUACUGUAUGGUGCGGUUUGCAUGCCGGCGGCAUCAUUGGGACAUACUUCUUCGUCGACAUUGCCAAUCGUCAGUUUCAGCAGAAUGGGCCACAAGCCAAGUCAUUCAAGUCAUCAGCCUAUGCUAACAAGCCGACAACGCACAAUGGAAAUGAUGGAAAGUAAUAUAUAUAUAGAGGCAACAAAUGUAAAAAAGGCACGGAAGGAAGAUAAUACGAUACUUCAUAUAGUGAAUGUGGAGAUAGUUUCCAAAAAGAAUGCAAAAUUUGGAGACCCUUUUAAGUCCAGGGGCUGACAUGGGGCGUUUCUGCUGGUCACCUCGAGUAUUUCUAAGCAUUUGAAGUGCUGCCAAAUAAGCACGAUUUUAGUCCAGAUAUCGUCGGCAUUUUUGGAAUUGUGGCACUAUUUCUUUACCGAUUGCAAAUCUGAUUACACCACUGAAAAGGUCACAAA